rnacentral:lncRNA from 1 species
CAAAGGGAGUAGCAAUAAUUUUUUUUCGCCCAUUUAAUUGCAAAGAUUAGCAAAUUACUGCCUUUACGGUUAUUCUUUCUCUAUAUUCUCACUGUGUGUCUUUUUCCCACAGUUGUCUUAUUGGUUUUCCUACUAAGAUAUUGUUUUGAGAAUUAGGUAGAUAAUGUUAAUAUAUGUUCCCUAAGAGAAAGUUGUGCUUAUUCUGUUCCAUGUAGUUGCACGUCAUUCUGUCGCCUGCAUGUGCGAAAAGUAGAUAUUAUUUCCAAGGUUCACUUAUCUGCAAUUUAACAAAGUUCUUGUAAGAAAUGCCUAGAUUUUUGUUCUUUGCAAGGUGCCAUUUAUUCUCUAUCAGAUGUCCAGAACUCAUGUAUGCUAAAGUUCUGAAUCUCAAUUCCAGUGACAUUUUAGUUAAAUGUCCUACAAUAGGAUCCUUCUCUUUCCAGGUAUCAUUCCUCCUUCAACAUGAAACCUAUUUAAAUUGAGGGCAUGUGCCACUUUUCGGCUGGUUGGAGAUUGACAGGUUUUUAUUAUUAAUUUGUCUAUGCCUUUCCCUUUCAAAACACAUCGUAGACAUCUAAAUCUUAUUGGAUCAGUCCAUACAAUACUUGUGCUAAAUCCUAAAUUCAAGACACGUUGGAUCAAGUCAACAUUUUCGGUCAAUAAGUUCCAAAUUAAUGAUUUAAUUCAAAAUUAUAUGACUUAAGUGAAAUCCAAUGUCACGACCCAAAUCUGAAGGGCCGUGACCGCCACUUAGUGAGCAUAUACCCCACCAAGCAAACCAACUCUCUUAAUUAUCAUUAGGUAAGCAGUCAGAGGAAAUGUUCUAUUGCUCAAUGUUCAAAGAAUCUAACUUCAAGAAUUUUAGUUUCAGGAACUCCGUCUCUCAUGCCCCAUUGCGCACUGUGAUCUGUCUGUCUAAGUUUUCUUCCCCUGGAUAUGGGUGUUAAAUUUGGUGUUAAAUUUAAUUUGGUUUGAUUUGGUUUUUCUGUUUAUCUUGAGACUUGAGUACCUCUAUUUGUAAUGCUGAGCAGCUAUGCACGACCAAAUAGUUAAAGUUAACAUAACGAGACCGGAAUGUAGAAGUUGAAAGCUUGAUAGUUUUAUCUUCUGUUUUAGAGAAUACAAAAUGUUCUCCAAUUUUCUUACCUUUUUUGUUCCAAUUCUAUUGGAUGUCCCUGUAGGAACUCUUACCUUUAUUGCUUGAUGUUUCUCUAACAGUAGUUUUGCAGCUUUUCUGAGGCAUUCUCUCUUUUCCUAGCAUGUCUGUCGUGUGGUUACAUUGGACUGACAAAUUGUGCCACUGCCAUUUCUUGUUCUGUGAGAUGCUGCCUGAAUCAUCUGAAUAUAUUUACUUUGAUUCUAUUUAAGUGUGAUAGUUUGUUGCUUAAUAUUUUUGUUUAGACUAGAUUUCACUUGCAAAA